GACGAACGCUGGCGGCGCGCUUAACACAUGCAAGUCGAACGGAAAGGCCUGCUUUCCCUUGUGGAUUGCGGGUACUCGAGUGGCGAACGGGUGAGUAACACGUGAGUGAUCUGCCCCCAACUUGGGUAUAAGCCUGGGAAACUGGGUCUAAUUCCCGAUAGGACUGCAGGGUGGUGCCUGUGGUGGAAAACGAUUUUCUAGUGGUUGGGGAUGAGCUCGCGGCCUAUCAGCUUGUUGGUGGGGUAAUGGCCUACCAAGGCGGCGACGGGUAGCCGGGCUGGGAGGGUGGACGGCCACAUUGGGACUGAGAGACGGCCCAGACUCCUACGGGAGGCAGCAGUGGGGAAUAUUGCACAAUGGGCGGAAGCCUGAUGCAGCGACGCCGCGUGGGGGAUGACGGCCUUCGGGUUGUAAACUCCUUUCGACCGCGAGGAAGCCACCUGGUUGGAAGGGUGGUGACGGUAGUGGUAGAAGAAGCACCGGCUAACUACGUG
rnacentral:rRNA from 1 species